rnacentral:lncRNA from 13 species
UCUGGUCUGAUGAAACAAAAAUAGAACUGUUUGGCCAUAAUGACCAUUGCUAUGUUUGGAGGAAAAAGGGGGACGCUUGCAAGCUGAAGAACAUCUUCCCAACUGUGAAGCACAGGGGUGGCAGCAUCAUGUUAUGGGGGUGUGUGUUUUGCUGCAGGAGGGACUGGUGCACUUCACAAAAUAGAUGGCAUCACGAGGAAAGAAAAUUAUGUGGAUAUGUUGAAAAAACAUCUCAAGACAUCAGUCAGCAAGUUAAAGCUUGGUCGCAAAUGGGUCUUCCAAAUGGACAAUGACCCCAAGCAUACUUCCAAAGUUGUGUCAAAAUGGCCUAAGGACAACAAAGUCAAGGUAUUGGAGUGGCCGUCACAAAGCCCUGACUUCAAUCCUAUAGAACAUUUGUGGGUGGAACUGAAAAAGCAUGUGUGAGCAAGGAGGCCUACAAACCUGACUCAGUUACACCAGCUAUGUCAGGAGGAAUGGGCCAAAAUUCACCCAACUGAUUGUGGGAAGUUUGUGGAAGGCUACCCGAAAUGUUUGACCAAAGUUAAACAAUUUAAAGGCAAUGCUACCAAGUACUAAUAUAGUUUAUGUAAACUUCUGACCCACUGGGAAUGUGAUGAAAGAAAUAAAAGCUGAAAUAAAUACUUCUCUCUACUAUUAUUCUGACAUUUCACAUUCUUAAAAUAAAGUGGUGAUCCUAACUGACCUAAGACAGGGCAUUUUUACUAGGAUUAAAUGUCAGGAAUUGUGAAAAACUGAGUUUAAAUGUAUUUGUCUAAGGUGUAUGUAAACGUCCGACUUCAACUGUGUACAGUAUGCUCCACCAUGCCAGUCUCAGGAAUGGGGAAGCAAUACUCACUCUAGCUGAACACUUCCCUCUUCCUGCUCGUUGGAAAUGUUGUUUUGCCCUGGUCCGUGAUGUGUCUCUUUGUAGGAGCAGGCCCCUGUGGCUCUGUGGUCGUGUGAAGGCCUCUGGAUUGACACUGGGGAAGGAUGUAGCUCCCUCAUCCAGACGGCCGUUUGAAUCCACCAAUGGGCUUUCAGGUUGAAGACAUUGGAAUGUAAAUGAGCCCAGCGCGUGCUCCUGGCGCAGUGAAAGCUCUGGAUUGUUUACUGAGCUCCCGGAGCCACGCGCCUGG